UUUAUACUCCCUUCGUCCCAAAAUUCUUGUCUUAAAUUUGUCUAAAUACGGAUGAAUCUAAUACUAAAACAUGACUUGAUACAUCUGUAAAACGUGACUUGAUACAUCUGUAUUUAGACAAAUCUAAGACAAGAAUAUUGAGACGGAGGGAGUAUUAA
rfam:Triticum aestivum genome assembly, contig: Triticum_aestivum_CS42_TGACv1_scaffold_487151_6AS